ACAGCUCAAAUUUGAAAUCUGGCCUCACGGUCCGAGUUGUAAUUUGUAGAGGAUGCUUCGAGCAUGGUCUGGCCUAAGUUCCUUGGAACAGGACGUCAUAGAGGGUGAGAAUCCCGUAUGCGGCCAGGUGCCUACGCUCAUGUGAAGCUCCUUCGACGAGUCGAGUUGUUUGGGAAUGCAGCUCUAAAUGGGUGGUAAAUUUCAUCUAAAGCUAAAUAUUGGCCAGAGACCGAUAGCGCACAAGUAGAGUGAUCGAAAGAUGAAAAGCACUUUGGAAAGAGAGUUAAACAGUACGUGAAAUUGUUGAAAGGGAAGCGCUUGCAACCAGACUUGCGUGCGGCCGAUCAUCUGGUGUUCUCACCGGUGCACUCGGUCGCGCUCAGGCCAGCAUCGGUUUUGGUGGUUGGAUAAAGGCCCUAGGAAUGUAGCUUCUCUCGGGGAGUGUUAUAGCCUAGGGUGCAAUGCAGCCCACCGGGACCGAGGACCGCGCUUCGGCUAGGAUGCUGGCGUAAUGGUUGUAAGCGACCCGUCUUGAAACACGGACCAAGGAGUCUAACAUCUAUGCGAGUGUUUGGGUGUCAAACCCAUACGCGUAAUGAAAGUGAACGGAGGUGAGAACCCUUAAGGGUGCAUCAUCGACCGAUCCUGAUGUCUUCGGAUGGAUUUGAGUAAGAGCAUAGCUGUUGGGACCCGAAAGAUGGUGAACUAUGCCUGAAUAGGGUGAAGCCAGAGGAAACUCUGGUGGAGGCUCGCAGCGGUUUUAACGUGCAGGUCGAUCGUCAAAUUUGGGC
rnacentral:rRNA from 1 species